rnacentral:rRNA from 1 species
AUACGUAGGUGGCGAGCGUUGUCCGGAAUUACUGGGCGUAAAGGGUGCGUAGGCAGAUAAUCAAGUCAGAUGUGAAAGUCCAUGGCUCAACUGUGGGAGUGCAUUUGAGACUGAAGAUCUAGAGUGCAGGAGAGGGAAGCGGAAUUCCUAGUGUAGCGGUGAAAUGCGUAGAUAUUAGGAAGAACACCAGUGGCGAAGGCGGCUUUCUGGACUGUAACUGACGCUGAAGCACGAAAGCGGGGGGAGCAAACAGGAUGAGAUACCCUGGUAGUCCACGCUGUAAACGAUGAGUAUUAGGUGUAGGGGACGAUAGUCUUCUGUGCCGGAGCAAACGCAAUAAAUACUCCGCCUGGGGAGUACGGUCACAAGACUAAA